UACGAAGGGGGCUAGCGUUGCUCGGAAUCACUGGGCGUAAAGGGCGCGUAGGCGGCCAUUCAAGUCGGGGGUGAAAGCCUGUGGCUCAACCACAGAAUUGCCUUCGAUACUGUUUGGCUUGAGUUUGGUAGAGGUUGGUGGAACUGCGAGUGUAGAGGUGAAAUUCGUAGAUAUUCGCAAGAACACCAGUGGCGAAGGCGGCCAACUGGACCAACACUGACGCUGAGGCGGCGAAAGCGGUGGGGAGCAAACACGG
rnacentral:rRNA from 1 species